rnacentral:rRNA from 1 species
CCUACGGGAGGCUGCAGUGAGGAAUAUUGGUCAAUGGGCGCGAGCCUGAACCAGCCAAGUAGCGUGAAGGAUGACUGCCCUACGGGUUGUAAACUUCUUUUAUAAAGGAAUAAAGUGAGGCACGUGUGCCUUUUUGUAUGUACUUUAUGAAUAAGGAUCGGCUAACUCCGUGCCAGCAGCCGCGGUAAUACGGAGGAUCCGAGCGUUAUCCGGAUUUAUUGGGGUUAAAGGGGGCGGAGAUGGGUUGUUAAGUCAGUUGUGAAAGUUUGCGGCUCAACCGUAAAAUUGCAAUUGAUACUGGCAGCCUUGAGUACAGUUGAGGUAGGCGGAAGGCGUGGUGUAGCGGUGAAAUGCUUAGAUAUCACGAAGAACUCCGAUUGCGAAGGCAGCUUACUAACCUGCCACUGACAUUGAUGCUCGAAAGUGUGGGUAUCGAACAGGAUUAGAUACCCCAGUAGUC